CGCAGGCAGAGCCGGGCUUGCCGGGCUCCCCGUCUCCCCGCAGGAGAAGGGGGCCAAAAGUCAAUAGGCGUAGGGAGAAAUGAAGUGAAAAGUGACUUAGAAAGAGAAGACCCUUCGCAGCUGCUUGUUUAAUGAUGGCGCAGCCAAGCCCUCCCCGCCAGGAUUAUUACUGAGGCAGCGUGACAGGGUGGCUGACAAACUGCCUCGACCAAACCUUGUCUUGCUCAAGCACUUGCUGUCUCUGCUCCACCACAUCAGCCAGAACGCUGAGACCAACAGGAUGGACUCCAGCAAUCUGGCCAUCUGCAUUGGCCCAAAUAUGCUGAGCCCAGAGACGGACAACACGCUCCCCCUGGAAGUCCAGAAGGAGAUGAAUGACAAGGUGAUGGUGUUGGUGAAGUUCCUCAUAGGCAACUGCUCAGAAACGUUUGGGGUGGACAUUGCCUUCUCUGUCUGUGCCUUGGCUGAGGCGUCACCGGAGCACACAGACAGCUCCACAGGUAUGCGAAAGGACUGGGCCUGUCACAGA